rnacentral:rRNA from 1 species
AUUGAACGCUGGCGGCAUGCUUUACACAUGCAAGUCGAACGGUAACAGGGUGCUUGCACCGCUGACGAGUGGCGAACGGGUGAGUAAUGCGUCGGAACGUGCCGAGUAGUGGGGGAUAACGCAGCGAAAGUUGUGCUAAUACAGCAUACGUACUGAGGUAGAAAGUGGGGGACCUUCGGGCCUCACGCUAUUCGAGCGGCCGACGUCUGAUUAGCUAGUAGGUGAGGUAAAGGCUCACCUAGGCGACGAUCAGUAGCGGGUCUGAGAGGAUGCUCCGACACACUGGGACGGAGACACGGCCCAGACUCCUACGGGAGGCAGCAGUGGGGAAUGUUGGACGAUGGGGGAAAGCCUGAUCCAGCCAUGCCGCGUGUCUGAAGAAGGCCUUCGGGUUGUAAAGGACUUUUGUCGGGGAGGAAAUCCCCAGCGUUAAUACCGCUGGGGGAUGACAGUACCUGAAGAAUAAGCACCGGCUAACUACGUGCCAGCCGCCGCCGUAAAAC